AGCGAACGCUGGCGGCAGGCCUAACACAUGCAAGUCGAGCGGCCGUAGCAAUACGACAGCGGCAGACGGGAGAGUAACACGUGGGAACGCGCCCUUCGGUCUGGAAUAACCCAGGGAAACUUGGGCUAAUACCGGAUACGCCCUUACGGGGAAAGAUUUAUUGCCGAAGGAACGGCCCGCGUCCGAUUAGCUAGUUGGUGAGGUAACGGCUCACCAAGGCGACGAUCGGUAGCUGGUCUGAGAGGAUGACCAGCCUCACUGGGACUGAGACACGGCCCAGACUCCUACGGGAGGCAGCAGUGGGGAAUAUUGGACAAUGGGCGCAAGCCUGAUCCAGCCAUGCCGCGUGGGUGAUGAAGGCCCUAGGGUUGUAAAGCCCUUUCAGCGGGGAAGAUAAUGACGGUACCCGCAGAAGAAGCCCCGGCUAACUUCGUGCCAGCCGCCGCAGUAAAAC
rnacentral:rRNA from 1 species